AGGGUUUGAUUCUGGCUCAGGAUUAACGCUGGCGGCAUGCCUAAUACAUGCAAGUCGAACGAGAGUAGCAAUACUCUAGUGGCGAACGGGUGAGUAACACGUAGGAAACCUGCCUCAAAGUCGAGGAUAACUACUGGAAACGGUAGCUAAAACUGGAUAGGAUAUAUUAAGGCAUCUUGAUAUAUUUAAAAGUCCUUCUGGGAAUGCUUUGAGAUGGUCCUGCGGCGCAUUAGCUAGUUGGUGAGGUAGUAGCUUACCAAGGCGACGAUGCGUAGCUGAGCUGAGAGGCCAAACAGCCACACUGGGACUGAGACACGGCCCAG
rnacentral:rRNA from 1 species